GUAAGACUAAUACCCAAUGAUAUCUCUAGAAGACAUCUGAAGGAGAUUAAAGAUUUAUCGGUGAUGGAUGGGGAUGCGUCUGAUUAGCUGGUUGGCGGGGCAACGGCCCACCAAGGCUACGAUCAGUAGGGGUUCUGAGAGGAAGGUCCCCCACAUUGGUACUGAGACACGGACCAAACUCCUACGGGAGGCAGCAGUGAGGAAUAUUGGUCAAUGGGCGGAAGCCUGAACCAGCCAAGUCGCGUGAGGGAUGACGGUCCUACGGAUUGUAAACCUCUUUGGCCGGGGAGUAAAGUGAGCGACGUGUCGCUCAUUGAGAGUACCCGGAGAAUAAGCAUCGGCUAACUCCGUG
rnacentral:rRNA from 1 species